UGCCGGCGACCGGCGCACGGGUGAGUAACACGUAUGCGACCUGCCCCCGCAGGGGAUAACCGGGAGAAAUCCCGACUAAUACCGCGUAACGCCGCGGACCUGCAUGGGUCUGCGGCCAAAGGAAGCGAUUCCGGCGGGGGAUGGGCAUGCGGCGCAUUAGCUAGUCGGCGGGGUAACGGCCCACCGAGGCGACGAUGCGUAGGGGUUCUGAGAGGAAGGUCCCCCACACUGGUACUGAGACACGGACCAGACUCCUACGGAAGGCAGCAG
rnacentral:rRNA from 1 species